AUUAUUCCAGAAAGAAAGAUUAUUAAUCAGGUCAGCACCAGUCCUCCCAUUUAAUCAGUGGAGAAACUGGGGUGAGCAUUUGCCAGUUCUAGCUGCAUUCUAAGUGUUCCAGGUUCUACUGUCAACCCAGGCUCAGGCUGUCCCACAUCCUCCCACAGAGGUCUUGCUUUGUUUUGAGAAAUGCUCAACAGAAGGAGGAAGUCCAGCAUAUCCACGGUGCAACUGAAAUGCCACCCUAGGAAGACUAAGGCCUCAUGGUGGGUGACAGCUGAGGUGACAGCUGAAGAUGAGGCUGGCUGAGGGAGGACAAUCCCACCAAAGUAUAGCGGACACCAGCAGUCUCUCUAGGCUCCCAACAGUCCUAAGGCUGAAGAGACUGUGAACAGGUCUGCACAAAGCCUACAAGCAAAGAAAGUCAUAAGCCUUAGGUUUCCCUGCAAUGACUUUCUGCAGUAGGUGGAGGAAGGGAAGAAAAAACCUAUCUCCAUGGAAAAACCACCUUAUAAGUCUUUCUAUAAAUUGCAGUAGAACAAAG
rnacentral:lncRNA from 1 species